rnacentral:rRNA from 1 species
GUGGGGAAUAUUGGACAAUGGGCGAAAGCCUGAUCCAGCCAUGCCGCGUGUGUGAAGAAGGUCUUCGGAUUGUAAAGCACUUUAAGUUGGGAGGAAGGGCAGUAAGUUAAUACCUUGCUGUUUUGACGUUACCGACAGAAUAAGCACCGGCUAACUUCGUGCCAGCAGCCGCGGUAAUACGAAGGGUGCAAGCGUUAAUCGGAAUUACUGGGCGUAAAGCGCGCGUAGGUGGUUUUGUAAGUUGGAGGUGAGAUCCCCGGGCUCAACCUGGGAACUGCCUCCAAAACUGCAUGACUAGAAUACGGUAGAGGGUAGUGGAAUUUCCUGUGUAGCGGUGAGAUGCGUAGAUAUAUGAAGGAACACCAGUGGCGAUGGCGACUACCUGGACUGAUACUGACACUGAGGUGCGAAAGCGUGGGGAGCAAACAGGAUUAGAAACCCCAGUAGUCC